UAUUUUCUUCUAUCUUUUCUCUCUUUGAGGGUUUAACAUAUGAAGCCUUGGAUUUCUUCUAUUUUUUUGGUUCAUUUCAAUCACAGAAACGUGAAGAAACCAAAAAAUUAGGGGAGGAAGAAGAGGAAACUGGAAAAGGAAGGUGAAUAGGAAUAAGAGCAAUAGCAGAGAAAUCAUGACAUGGUGCAAUGAAUCAAAUGAUCAAGAAUCACUCCAAUUAAUCAAAGCUACAUCAGAGGAAAAAAGUGUUAUAAUCUCAAAAGUUGAUCAUCAAGUUAGAACAAUAACUUGCCCUUCAUGUGGCCAUAGCAUUGAGCUUCAAAAUCAGAGGGGAAUACAUGAUUUGCCUGGUCUACCAGCUGGAGUGAAGUUUGAUCCUUCUGAUCAAGAAAUUCUUGAGCAUUUAAAAGCAAAGGUAUUUUCAGAUACUCAUAAGCUUCAUCCUCUAAUUAACGAAUUCAUUCCAACCAUUGAUGGAGAAAAUGGAAUUUGCUACACUCAUCCAGAGAAAUUACCAGGUAAUUUCCUUUAUUUAUUAAUUCAAAUUCUACGACCUGUCAAUGAAAAGAAAAAACCAAAAAGAGAAGAUUCAUCAUGUUUUCUUGUCCUAAUUUUAUUCCUUUGUUAUGGAUUUAUAUUCUGAAUAUUGUCAUUUAAGGCAAAAACAUAUUAUUCGACGUGCUUGUGUAUAAUGUUUAAUAGAGUUUAAGUUCAUAGUGUAAAAGAUAGUUGUAUGGUCAUGUUACUUAAAAGGUAAUUACAGACAUAUUUAUAUAGUAAACAUUAAUUGAUAACCUAAUACUAUCGAAAAUAACUCCUAGAAAGGUGAAUUUAUACGGAUAAUAUUUUAAAAAAAUUACAUUGUUAAUAUAUACAGCUUAUAUCAUUUUAAUAUAGGGUAAAAAGUGGUGAUAAUUGCGUGGGGUGUUACUAACUAGUUUGAAGUUAAAAGUUUGCCUAAUUUAGCUAAUCCAUAGUCUCUUUUACGUACUAUUAUUAUUCUUUCCUUUUCUUCUUAGUCUUUCAAUCGUGAACUCGUCAACCUAACGUACAAUGGGAAUUUUGUUGUGGAACUUGGCGUAGCUAGAAGGUGAGGUACAUAGUCAGGG